UACGUAGGGACCAAGCGUUGUUCGGAUUUACUGGGCGUAAAGGGCGCGUAGGCGGCAAUUCAAGUCAUCUGUGAAAUCUCCGGGCUUAACUCGGAACGGUCAGAUGAUACUGCUUUGCUAGAGUGCGGAAGGGGCAAUCGGAAUUCUCGGUGUAGCGGUGAAAUGCGUAGAUAUCGAGAGGAACACCUGAGGUGAAGACGGGUUGCUGGGCCGACACUGACGCUGAGGCGCGAAAGCCAGGGUAGCAAACGGG
rnacentral:rRNA from 1 species